rnacentral:lncRNA from 1 species
AAAUCACAGUCUAAGCGUAACCCACCUGGUCCAUAUAAAGAACCAAGCACGAUGAAGAUUCCGACAUCCGAACAUUUUCUCGGGCGUAUUACAAAUACCUCUAAAUUUGAAAAUGUGAUGGAAGUUAUCAAGAGGAAGUUAACCAAACAACAAUUAAGAUUAUUCAAGAAAGAUGUAUUUGGCCAUUUUGCAAAAAUAGAUGCCUA